rnacentral:rRNA from 1 species
AUGAUAUGCUCACUGGGUAAGAAUACACAUUUUUCUAAGGCCAACUUGUGUGUGAUAACUCGUGACAGCACACAGAUGUGGCUGCCAUCGGAGGAGUGUAGCGCCAUGGAGCUUCAGCCCGAGUUGCUCGGCGGAGCAAUAUCUUUCCGUGUCGCCUCCCCAUCACGACUGCCUAUGGAAGUGACAGCCAACGGCCUGUCUCCAUGUGCUAUGGUGGUGGCCGGCAGCAACGCCCUUGAGCAUCACCAUGGAGCGGGCCCGCGGCCCCGACGAGGUCUCUUCCUCCUGCACGGCAAACGGCCAGUCAUGUGUGUAGUCACUUACCCAGUUAGCAUGGUUAAACACAAUACCAUCUCAAAUCAUGAGCAAAACCAAGCUAGGGGAAGAUUUAUCCGGUUUUGCAGAUUUGAGGGCCUUAAAUAA